GAUGAACGCUGGCGGCGUGCUUAACACAUGCAAGUCGAACGAGAAAUGUAGACGGAAACCUUCGGGCGGAAGCCUUCAUUUCGAGUGGCGGACGGGUGAGUAACGCGUGGGUAACCUGCCUCAUACAGGGGGAUAACAGUUGGAAACGACUGUUAAUACCGCAUAAGACCACAGCAUCGCAUGAUGCGGGGGUAAAAACUCCGGUGGUAUGAGAUGGACCCGCGUUCGAUUAGCCAGUUGGCGGGGUAACGGCCCACCAAAGCGACGAUCGAUAGCCGAUCUGAGAGGAUGACCGGCCACAUUGGGACUGAGACACGGCCCAAACUCCUACGGGAGGCAGCAGUGGGGAAUAUUGCACAAUGGGGGAAACCCUGAUGCAGCGACGCCGCGUGAGUGAAGAAGUACUUCGGUAUGUAAAGCUCUAUCAGUAGGGAAGAAAAUGACGGUACCUGAGUAAGAAGCCCCGGCUAACUACGUG
rnacentral:rRNA from 1 species